UUUGUCACUGCUCCGCUCCCGUAACUGUUUCCCGUAAUUGCCCCACUGGAUGAUGGAUGAUAUGCAAACUCGCCAUUAUUGCCUUUUUCUUGGAGCCUUGUGAAGUGAACAGGUUUUAUCACUGGAAAGAUCUCGACCGGGAAGCCGUCUGUCGGAGGAACAUGGCACCUCAUUUGCAACAAACAUGAUGGAUAUCGCAUUACUUGACUAAUGCUUGGCUGGUAGCAAACUUUCAGCCCAGCCCAGCCCUGUGAAUGAUGCAG